rnacentral:lncRNA from 1 species
ACAGCUAGGGUUCCGAUAAAAUUCUAACCAUCAUCUAAGCUUCCCUAUUCAACCGCCCGAAGACUCCCACCUGAUUGAGACUUUUGAGUAUAGAAAAAUAGUAGAAAAACCUAAGGCAAACUUAGGAAAAAUCAACGAAGACAAGAGAUAGACAAAAAAAGAAAAGAAAGGUGACACCUUUUUCCACAUAGAUUGAUCAUUCUUUUUUCUUUUCACUUCUUUUUCUUUU